AGAGUUUGAUCAUGGCUCAGAACGAACGCUGGCGGCAGGCUUAACACAUGCAAGUCGAGCGCACUCUUCGGAGUGAGCGGCAGACGGGUGAGUAACGCGUGGGAACCUACCUAGUAGUACGGAAUAGCCCUGGGAAACUGGGAAUAAUACCGUAUACGCCCUCAUAUGAUUAAUUUCUUUGGGGGGAAAGAUUUAUCGCUAUUAGAUGGGCCCGCGUUGGAUUAGCUAGUUGGUGAGGUAAUGGCUCACCAAGGCGACGAUCUAUAGCUGGUCUGAGAGGAUGAUCAGCCACACUGGAACUGAGACACGGUCCAGACUCCUACGGGAGGCAGCAGUGGGGAAUAUUGGACAAUGGGGGAAACCCUGAUCCAGCCAUGCCGCGUGAGUGAUGAAGGCCUUAGGGUUGUAAAGCUCUUUCAAUGGUGAAGAUAAUGACGGUAACCAUAGAAGAAGCCCCGGCUAACUUCGUGCCAGCAGCCGCGGUAAUACGAAGGGGGCUAGCGUUGUUCGGAUUUACUGGGCGUAAAGCGCACGUAGGCGGAUUGAUCAGUUAGGGGUGAAAUCCCGAGGCUCAACCUCGGAACUGCCUUUAAUACUGUCAGUCUAGAGACCGGAAGAGGUGAGUGGAACUCCUAGUGUAGAGGUGGAAUUCGUAGAUAUUAGGAAGAACACCAGUGGCGAAGGCGGCUCACUGGUCCGGUACUGACGCUGAGGUGCG
rnacentral:rRNA from 1 species